rnacentral:rRNA from 1 species
UACGAAGGGUGCAAACGUUGCUCGGAAUUAUUGGGCGUAAAGCGCACGUAGGCGGCUUAGCAAGUCGGAUGUGAAAUCCCUCGGCUCAACCAAGGAAGUGCAUCCGAAACUGCUGAGCUUGAGUACGAAAGAGGAUCGCGGAAUUCUCGGUGUAGCGGUGAAAUGCGUAGAUAUCAGGAGGAACACCGGUGGCGAAGGCGCCUAUCUGGCCCGAUACUGACGCUGAGGCGCGAAAGCUAGGGGAGCAAACGGG